rnacentral:rRNA from 1 species
GACGAACGCUGGCGGCGUGCUUAACACAUGCUAGUCGAACGGAAAGGCCCUGCUUUUGUGGGGUGCUCGAGUGGCGAACGGGUGAGUAACACGUGAGUAACCUGCCCUUGACUUUGGGAUAACUUCAGGAAACUGGGGCUAAUACCGGAUAGGAGCUCCUGCUGCAUGGUGGGGGUUGGAAAGUUUCGGCGGUUGGGGAUGGACUCGCGGCUUAUCAGCUUGUUGGUGGGGUAGUGGCUUACCAAGGCUUUGACGGGUAGCCGGCCUGAGAGGGUGACCGGCCACAUUGGGACUGAGAUACGGCCCAGACUCCUACGGGAGGCAGCAGUGGGGAAUAUUGCACAAUGGGCGGAAGCCUGAUGCAGCAACGCCGCGUGCGGGAUGACGGCCUUCGGGUUGUAAACCGCUUUCGCCUGUGACGAAGCGUGAGUGACGGUAAUGGGUAAAGAAGCACCGGCUAACUACGU